UGCUGUUGGGGCAGUGAGCCUUUUGUC
rnacentral:piRNA from 1 species